AAAAAGAAAAUAUGCUACUGUAGAUUUUCCGACAGAGAAAUCAAACGCAGCAUGUAGAUGUAAACAUGGAGAAGGUCUUACAUAACUUUUAAAAUAUUAAUUCCUUCUAAAGUAAAGAUCAGAAGCAUGGUCAAUACAUGUAUCUCAGAAUGCAUCUUAAUUUUACCUUCAGUAAAUAUUGCAGCCUGUACUCUGGAUAUGCUGAGCUGUUCCUAGAUGGUUUUCUCCUGUGUGUCUGACAUGGGAGAUUAAUGCUCCUAGGAAAUGCCAUUUGAAUACUAUGGCUGCUUGGAAUUGUUGGAAGUAUGCAAAUGAGAAGCUGAGAUUUGAGGAUCAGCAAGAAGAAAAUGGAAGGAAUAGAAUCCUGGAAUCCUGACUGCCACUACUAUAGUGCUGUGUAGCAAACAGUUGUGUAAACAACUGGCAAUGUAUGUCAUGUACCUCGCUAGUAACUGAUCAUCACCUACUAUUGCUACCAGCUUUUAGCUGAAAUGAUAGUGAUAGAGGUCUCUAAUGUGAACCUGAGAUUUCUGGGUUCAAUCCUUGCUGCUGAUGCGUGCAAGAUGUCAUUACAGUUGCACAUGACUAAAUUUGUUUCCUUUUUAAAGAAUCUAGGAAAUUCUGUAGCAAAAAAUUGUCAAAAGAACAUUGCAAACUCAAGAACUCUUAGGUUAAGAUAUACCAGAAUUAUUUCUCCUUCAUGAUUGUCUGGGAGGAUGUGGCUGAUGGCAUCUGGUGGCAUCUGACUCAGUGAUGAAAAUGAACAUGCAUCAGUCCACGAGGCCUUGGAU